GACGAACGCUGGCGGCGUGCUUAACACAUGCAAGUCACGGGGGCCCGCAAGGGUAACCGGCGAACGGGUGCGUAACACGUGAACAACCUGCCCUCGUGUGGGGGAUAGCCAUGCUAACGCGUGGGUAAUACCGCAUACGUUCCCCUGGAGGAGUCUCUGGGGGAGGAAAGCUCCGGCGCACGGGGGAGGGGUUCGCGGCCUAUCAGCUAGUUGGCGGGGUAAUGGCCCACCAAGGCGACGACGGGUAGCUGGUCNGAGAGGAUGGCCAGCCACAUUGGGACUGAGAGACGGCCCAGACUCCUACGGGAGGCAGCAGUGGGGAAUCUUGCGCAAUGGCCGAAAGGCUGACGCAGCGACGCCGCGUGUGGGAUGAAGCAUUUCGGUGUGUAAACCACUGUUGCCCGGGACGAACAGCCUUUUCGAGAGGUCUGACGGUACCGGGUGAGGAAGCACCGGCUAACUCCGUGCCAGCAG
rnacentral:rRNA from 1 species